ensembl:lncRNA
GUCUUGUCUUCCCUUGCAGGGCACAGUUGUCCAUCAGGGCCCAAGUCUGUGCGGGUGUCUUCUCCUGCCACCAUGCUGCUCAGCGUGGAGGAGGCACAGGCACAGAGGCGAGGCCACAGCAGCUCUCCCGCUCUGACACACUGCAGGGACAUCGAAGUGGAAGAAGGCCGCACAGCUGCAGGGGGCAAAUUCCACACAGUCAUCGCCUUUCCGUCUGAAAGGUAAAGAGGACUUUCUUUCCCAGCACCUUCCUAUCAGGCGUGGUUGGGUGGGCUUUUGUGGGUUUUUCUCCACUAAUGCUAGUGCACAAACUUGCAGAAGCUACGUGACGUUAAUGGUGCGUGUGGUGUUGUACUCCGUCUCCGCUCCCUUUGGACUCUGAGAUUCAACUAACGCACAG